AGUGGGGAAUAUUGGGCAAUGGGGGAAACCCUGACCCAGCAACGCCGCGUGAGGGAAGAAGGUUUUCGGAUUGUAAACCUCUGUCCUUGGUGAAGAAAGAGAUGACGGUAGCCAAGGAGGAAGCCCCGGCUAACUACGUGCCAGCAGCCGCGGUAAUACGUAGGGGGCGAGCGUUGUCCGGAAUGACUGGGCGUAAAGGGCGUGUAGGCGGCCGAUUAAGUCCGGAGUGAAAGUCCUGCUUUCAAGGUGGGAAUUGCUUUGGAAACUGGUUGGCUUGAGUGCGGAAGAGGUAAGUGGAAUUCCCAGUGUAGCGGUGAAAUGCGUAGAGAUUGGGAGGAACACCAGUGGCGAAGGCGACUUACUGGGCCGUAACUGACGCUGAGGCGCGAAAGCGUGGGGAGCGAACAGGAUUAGAUACCCUGGUAGUCCACGCGGUAAACGAUGAAUGCUAGGUGUAGGGGGUAUCGACCCCUCCUGUGCCGGAGUAAACACAAUAAGCAUUCCGC
rnacentral:rRNA from 1 species